rnacentral:rRNA from 1 species
UACGGGGGGACCAAGCGUUGUCCGGAAUUACUGGGCGUAAAGGGCGCGUAGGCGGGCGGGCAAGUCUCUCGUGAAAGCCCACGGCUCAACCGUGGAAUUGCGGGAGAUACUGCCUGUCUUGAGUCCGGGAGAGGAGGGUGGAAUUCCCAGUGUAGCGGUGAAAUGCGUAGAUAUUGGGAGGAACACCGGUGGCGAAGGCGGCUCUCUGGACCGGUACUGACGCUGAGGCGCGAAAGCUAGGGGAGCAAACGGG